rnacentral:rRNA from 1 species
AAUAGAUACCCGGGUAGUCCUAGCCGUAAACGAUACUCGCUAGGUGUCGGCCACGGUGCGACCGUUGUCGGUGCCGUAGGGAAGCCGUGAAGCGAGCCACCUGGGAAGUACGGCCGCAAGGCUGAAACUUAAAGGAAUUGGCGGGGGAGCACCACAACGGGUGGAGCUCGCGGUUUAAUUGGAUUCAACGCCGGAAAUCUUACCGGGACCGACAGCAAUAUGAAGGCCAGGCUGAAGACUUUGCCGGAUUAGCUGAGAGGUGGUGCAUGGCCGUCGUCAGUUCGUACUGUGAAGCAUCCUGUUAAGUCAGGCAACGAGCGAGACCCACGCCCACAGUUGCCAGCGUACUCUCUGGAGUGACGGGUACACUGUGGGGACCGCCGCUGCUAAGGCGGAGGAAGGAAUGGGCAACGGUAGGUCAGUAUGCCCCGAAUAUCCCGGGCUACACGCGAGCUACAAUGGUUGGUACAAUGGGUAUCUACCCCGAAAGGGACGGGAAUCUCCUAAAACCAAUCUUAGUUCGGAUUGAGGGCUGCAACUCGCCCUCA